rnacentral:lncRNA from 7 species
GAAGGGGUACUCCCGGAGCGGCACGAGCGCGAGCUUGUAGAGGACGCGGUUCCCCGUGCCCAUGGCGACGACCGCAGCGGCGGCGAUGGCCACCUCCAUCCCGGCGCUCCUCCCGGCGCCCGCGCUGCUGCUCCCCGCGACCCGCCCCGCCGCCGCGCACCUUGUCGCGUCCCCCCUGCCCCUUCCAGGGCUCGUCCAGGCGUGUGCCGACGCCCACGGGUCCGCCGCGAUCCACCGCGCGU